rnacentral:hammerhead_ribozyme from 1 species
GUUCUGAUGAAGAGUCCCAAACUAGGACGAAACGGCUGUCCAGUAC